UACAGAGGGGGCGAGCGUUGUUCGGAAUUACUGGGCGUAAAGGGCGCGUAGGUGGUGGCUUAAGCGUGCGGUGAAAGCUCGGAGCUCAACUCCGAGUCGGCCGUGCGAACUGGGCUCACUGGAGCAUAGUAGAGGCAGGUGGAAUUCCGGGUGUAGCGGUGGAAUGCGUAGAGAUCCGGAAGAACACCGGUGGCGAAGGCGGCCUGCUGGGCUAUGGCUGACACUGAGGCGCGACAGCGUGGGGAGCAAACAGGG
rnacentral:rRNA from 1 species